GAGAAAAAAACCGUCUCGUGGAGAGCGUGCUGGGGGANCCGUUGGGGGAGCACACGUACUGCGGGCCAGCCAGCGCUUAGUUGCGCGGCGCCUGUGGGUGCUUCGCCGGGAGCCCUCUGCUACAAGGCACUUCUCCAUGCAGAACACACACACAGUGGAGACACGUAUGCACGUUUUUCUGGGUGCAUUGGUGCUUUGGGCUGGCGACAGCCCAGAGUGCGGCACGCAAAACACAAACAAAAAUGCAGUUGCAACACGCAGUCAGAGACACACACGAGUUUGGGCAGUGCGCGAGCGCUGUGGCAGACGAGUGGAUAACAAAUCUUCA
rnacentral:rRNA from 1 species